rnacentral:rRNA from 1 species
GAUAGUGGCGAACGGGUGAGUAACACGUAAGUAACCUGCCCCCAAGUAGGGAGUAACUCUGAGAAAUUAGAGCUAAUACCAUAUGUGGUGAUGGAGGUAAUGCUUCAUCACUAAAGCUUUAGGGCGCUUAGGGAGGGGCUUGCGUCCGAUUAGCUAGUUGGUAGGGUAAUGGUCUACCAAGGCGAUGAUCGGUAGCUGGUUUGAGAGGACAUUCAGCCACACUGGGAUUGAGAUACGGCCCAGACUCCUACGGGAGGCAGCAGCAAGGAAUUUUGUGCAAUGGGCGAAAGCCUGACACAGCGACGCCGUGUGGGGGAUGAAGGCCUUCGGGUUGUAAACCCCUUUUCUCAGGGAAGAAUAAUGACGGUACCUGAGGAAUAAGUCGUGGCUAACUACGUGCCAGCAGCCGCGGUAAUACGUAGGCGGCAAGCGUUAUCCGGAUUUAUUGGGCGUAAAGAGGGCGUAGGCGGUUUUUCAAGUCGAUUGUAAAAUCUCCCGGCUUAACUGGGAGGGGCCAGUCGAUACUGUUAGACUAGAGGGCAGCAGGGGGAGGUGGAAUUCCCGGUGUAGUGGUGAAAUGUGUAGAUAUCGGGAGGAACACCAGUGGCGAAGGCGGCCUCCUAGGCUGUUUCUAACGCUGAGGCCCGAAAGCGUGGGAGCAAACAGGAUCAGAUACCCUGGUAGUCCACGCUGUAAUCGAUGGACACUAGGUAUAGGGAGUAUCGACCCUCUCUG